AACGAACGCUGGCGGUGUGCUUAACACAUGCAAGUCGAACGCGAACGGGUUCUUCGGGACCUUAGUAGAGUGGCGCACGGGUGAGUAACGCGUAAGUUAUCUACCUCGGCAUCUGGAAUAACUCACCGAAAGGUGUGCUAAUACCGGAUACGUUGAGUAAUCAAGAAAGGUGGCCUCUGUAUAUGCUACCGUGCUGAGAUGAGCUUGCGUACCAUUAGCUAGUUGGUGGGGUAAUGGCCUACCAAGGCGACGAUGGUUAGCGGGUCUGAGAGGAUGAUCCGCCACACUGGAACUGGAACACGGACCAGACUCCUACGGGAGGCAGCAGUGAGGAAUAUUGCGCAAUGGGGGCAACCCUGACGCAGCGACGCCGCGUGGAUGAUGAAGGCCUUCGGGUCGUAAAAUCCUGCCAGGUGGAAAGAAAUGUAUAUGUGCUAAUACCAUGUAUACUUGACGGUACCACCGAAGGAAGCACCGGCUAACUCCGUGCCAGCAGCCGCAGUAACAC
rnacentral:rRNA from 1 species